GCAGUCGAGCGAACGGACGAGAAGCUUGCUUCUCUGAUGUUAGCGGCGGACGGGUGAGUAACACGUGGAUAACCUACCUAUAAGACUGGGAUAACUUCGGGAAACCGGAGCUAAUACCGGAUAAUAUUUUGAACCGCAUGGUUCAAAAGUGAAAGACGGUCUUGCUGUCACUUAUAGAUGGAUCCGCGCUGCAUUAGCUAGUUGGUAAGGUAACGGCUUACCAAGGCAACGAUGCAUAGCCGACCUGAGAGGGUGAUCGGCCACACUGGAACUGAGACACGGUCCAGACUCCUACGGGAGGCAGCAGUAGGGAAUCUUCCGCAAUGGGCGAAAGCCUGACGGAGCAACGCCGCGUGAGUGAUGAAGGUCUUCGGAUCGUAAAACUCUGUUAUUAGGGAAGAACAUAUGUGUAAGUAACUGUGCACAUCUUGACGGUACCUAAUCAGAAAGCCACGGCUAACUACGUGCCAGCAGCCGCGGUAAUACGUAGGUGGCAAGCGUUAUCCGGAAUUAUUGGGCGUAAAGCGCGCGUAGGCGGUUUUUUAAGUCUGAUGUGAAAGCCCACGGCUCAACCGUGGAGGGUCAUUGGAAACUGGAAAACUUGAGUGCAGAAGAGGAAAGUGGAAUUCCAUGUGUAGCGGUGAAAUGCGCAGAGAUAUGGAGGAACACCAGUGGCGAAGGCGACUUUCUGGUCUGUAACUGACGCUGAUGUGCGAAAGCGUGGGGAUCAAACAGGAUUAGAUACCCUGGUAGUCCACGCCGUAAACGAUGAGUGCUAAGUGUUUAAGGGGGUUUCCGCCCCUUAGUGCUGCAGCUAACGCAUUAAGCACUCCGCCUGGGGGAGUACGACCGCAAGGUUGAAACUCAAAGGAAUUGACGGGGACCCGCACAAGCGGUGGAGCAUGUUGGUUUAAUUCGAAGCAACGCGAAGAACCUUACCAAAUCUUGACAUCCUUUGACAACUCUAGAGAUAGAGCUUUCCCCUUCGGGGGACAAAGUGACAGG
rnacentral:rRNA from 1 species